ensembl:lncRNA
AUGAAUUUUCCACUGGAAUGCCCUGAUGAACACCAGCUGUUUCAUCUUCUGGGUAACUGCUUCUACCCACUCAGAAGAAAAUCCAAUUCUGUGGAAACUGCCAGUUAUGGUGACCCACUUACCCAAGCCCAACCCCAGCCCUCACAUACACGCACAUGCAUAUACUCACACCACCUACCACAGGGCUGGGCCAGUGACCAGAGCCAGGGCAGGUAUAAUCUGGAUAUAGCCUGUGACAGGCUCAAGACCUCAGGUGUGCCAAUGAAACUUUUGCUGCAAUUUGUAUGGACUGAAACAGGAGGAGAAAAGUUUACCGCUUAUUUCUCCAUGGUCGCUGAGCUGGGACGAUUUUUAUUAAGUCAAGAAUAUGGAGCAAUGAAUAAGUCACAUGAGCUACCUUGGCCAUGUUGCAUAGAGAAAAUCUAUCUGCCCCAGGAGAAAAGGGCACCAUCAGGCAAAGGGGAGCAGAGACGGAAGAGAUGCAGAGAAAAUCCUGAUCCCCAGCUAACUGUGAGGCCAGCCACGCAUCACUCUUUCUAGUUGCAUGAAGUAAAUAAUCUCCUAUUUCCUUCAGUCGAUUUUACUUGUAUUUUUGUUACUUACAAUUAAAAAAAAAAAACCCAAUGCCAGCUUUUUCCCAGUCCUCACUGUUUUCGCCUUUUAUACCUAGAAUAUUUCAAAACAAUUUUAUAUUUUCUUCAUGCUAAUUUUAAAUCCUAAAUCACUUUUAACCAAUUCAGAAUCCCUCUCACCACCCCUGCUAAUUCAUAAUGGAGAAACAGAAAUGCAUUAUUCUGGAGAAUUAACAACUCAAAGACAUACUUUUCCCAUGACUGAAUUAGACCUUCCUGGAAAACAUCACCCCUAAUUCAGGUCUGUACAUUCUGGUAUGCAGCACAUGUUGAAUACCAAGCACCAUUAUAAUAAUUGAUAAACAGCAAAACCCUGGCUAAGUGGAGCCCUCUGGAUCCAUUAGACUUCUGGAACAGCUCCAGGUUCAAAAAUGACUGAACUAUUUGAACAAAACAAAGCAAAUAUCUCUCAGUUGUAGAGAAGCAAUUUCUGAGAACAGCCAACAUCAAAUGAGAGUCAGAAAUGCUUAGGAUCUAACUCAUCCCAUGGCUAUGAAAUGAAAGAAAAGCUCUCAUUGGAUGGCAAUACCUAUACAUUUCAUUAUUCAAGAAACAUGAGUAAAAUGACAGGAAAUGCGAGAGGCUAGAAAGACAGAAUGUAGAAAAAAAGAGAGCGGGAAUGACAAAUAUGAGUAAAUGUGGAGGCAGUGGUAAAGACGGAGUUCGGAUGUGGUGCUGGCAUGGUGAGCGGCAGACACCCCCACACUGUGUAAAAGGCUUGCCAGGGGAAUGAGCUAGGAAAUGUGGCCAAGGCCAUGGGAGCCCAAGAAGAGUGCCAGCAGGACACAGCAGAUGUGUACCCACAUGUGGUGGGAAAAGAGGAGAAGCCUAUACCCCACUCUCCUUGAAAUAUCCAUGGGGUCUCAUCAAAGCCACAACACCUGGUACACAACUUAGCAGUCUGUGGAGGUGUUCCCUGUUCACUGCAUCAAGUCAAACUAAAUGACAAAACUGAGCCAUAACAGUAACUUUGCUGGCACCAUAUUGGGGGGGAAAAAAAAGCUUGGCAUCUUAGUGAAACCACUCCUUGACUUAAAUUGCAUUUUUUAAAUGGAAGCCAAAGUGUAAAAAUCUAAAAUGUAUUUAAAAAUUUUUAAAGAGAAAACAGAUUAUAUGUACCCAGUUGCUCUAUCUUGAACUUGACUGCUGUAUUUUUGCUUGUUUGUUUGUCCUGGGGGAGGGGCAGGGUAGAGGGGAGCAUGGGCAAAGGCACUGUUGUGAGAAAGAAGGACCUCCCAAAGGUCUGCAGAGAAAGUGACGGGAGGGCAUUUCCUUCUGGCAAGCAAUAAGCUAGGUGCUCCAGGAGUAGCAAUGCAUGUGGAAGAGCUUAACCUUUCCCUUUCACUCUUUUCUUUGUAUUUCCCAAGUCACUGAUCACUUUUGUUAACUAUUCCAGCCCAGCCAACGCCUUCUGGGAAUUAAGAGAGGGGCCUGUUUCUGUGAUGAGACAAGUCAGUGCAAGGAAAUCAGCAGAAGCCAUGAGAAGUUGGUUACAAAACAGCAAAGGAUGCUGAGGCACAGAGAAGUCAUCUGGAACAAAAUGACCAGUUGAAGGGAGACACAACAACCAGGAAAGAGUUGUGGGGCACAUGAGCGUUCUUGGGGAUUCUCAGAAGAGUGUGGGGAUGGGUUGUGAGAAGAUACUACAUUUUCUGUGCAUGUGGAAAGGAUUCCCACAUUAUUAUUAUUAUCAUCAUUAGUAUUAUUAUUCAGAUUAAGUGUGACCUUAAAGGCUGGAGAACAUUGAGAAGCCAGAGGAACACUGACACAUGCAAGUCAAUCCAGACAGUGCUGCUUAUCUACCCUCUAUGACACUGAUGCCCAGAAGAGGAAGCUACAACGGUUUUUCCGAGCACGCACACAUAUAGUAAAGAUGCAUCUUCCACAAACAAAAGCUUACACUACUUUUUUAUGUUUUCAGCCAUAUAACAUCAUAAUUAUUCCAUUUCUGGUUCAAUGCUCAAUGGAAAAUUAUAAUGUUUUAUGAAUAAUUGAAGCUGACUGAAUCAUGUACAUUUUUAUCAGGGCUAAUUUUGAUGUUUCAUACAAAGGUAUGGCAUCAAAAGGCUAAAUAUAGUUGGAAAAAGAAUUAUUAAUUCACAUCUCAUAAGAAAAGCUGCAAGUAGAAGAUUAAUAUUUGGAAGGUGUUUUCACUGUCAGUAGUGGAGAAAUCAGAGGAAAAGUAAGUUGUACUCACAUGACAAUGCAUUUCAUAAACCAUUAAAGUACAGAAACAUUUUCUAUCAUAUAAAUGCUCCUAUUAAAAUAAGUUAUUGCAUAACUUGUACACUUAUAAGAGGGACUGGUCACACCUGAAGUAUCUGAAGUCAAUUCUAAAGUCAGUGGUAUAAGUAAGAGGCAAAUCUGGAAAUUUGCAAUCCAGAAUAAAUGAGGCUGCUUUGGAAAACAGGGGUAACAUUAUAUCCCAACUAUUAUGGAACCCACUAAUGUCAGCUGGGUUUGUGGGCUCCUAAAAUGAAGAUUACAUUUCCUGGUCAUCUUUGCAGAUAGGUGCAACCAUACGACCAAGUUCUGGUCAAAGAAGUGGUGUGUACAUCUUUGGAAAGUGUGCAAAAAGGAAAAAGGCAUGAUCUUCUCCUUUCUUUUCUUCCUUCUUUUUGCUGAUAUGGGCAACAACUGGAGCUUCAACAAACCUCUUGGACCGUACACACGCCCUGAAGGGACGGCAGAGAGGAAAACUGGAGGCGGUUUGUGCAUACCACUCCUGGAUGGUAACCUCCAGUUUUCACAUGAGACGACAAAACGUUCUGAUUUAAGCUGCCAUAUUUGGGUUUUCUUCCACAAGACACUGAACCCAAUUAUAAUAAAUACAAGGGAAAAGUAAGACUGUCUCAUGUUCCUGACCUGGGCUUGGAGGAUGUCAGUAUCUAAGAAAGUUUUUUUUUUGAUACAUUUAAAAAUUAAUAACCAAUUCAUGGAAAUAAGCCAAGUACUAGAAAGUUAGAGAUUCAAAUAAGUCAUUUCUUUAUCUCUGGAACACACAGGGGCUGGGACAGAUUCUGUAAGAUGCUGCAGCAAGUCACAUCUUAUGGGCCAGACUGUUUAGAUUCUUCCUAGUGUGAUUUCUUCCAACAAUCCAUAUUUAUUUCCCUGCUUUUUUCCUUGGGCAGUUAGCAAAAUUUUGUUUUGUUUCACUGGGACAAAAUUAAAAGAAGGACAGGAGCCUCCUGACACUUGUAUACCUGUGUGAAGCUGACAGUAGAAAAAACAAGAAAUCCUAAAUGAGUGAUUCCCACUCCCACUACAGGAAGAACACCUUCUUAGAACAAAUAUUUUGUGAACCUCCCUUUGCUAUACUAAAAUAAAAUUCAAAGAUAAUAUAACCUAUCUGCACAUAUGAAGAAAUCCGUGUAUUAAACUAUAUUAUCAAAGGAAAAUAGUUGAUGAUAAUGAUCUUUGAUAAGUAAAUGCUCAAGUAUGAUCAUGCUAGAAGACAAAAGUGCCUCCACAUUUUCAAAAUAUUCCCCAGGGAGUGUACAGUAUGCAAUGCCCUAUAUGAUAUGGCGCUUUCCUACCUUGGGAAGUGAUAAAACUUCAGGAUCAGAACGAUGUCUCUUCCUUUCUAUAAGAGCUUCUCCUUCCAGAGACACCUUAAAGUGCUUGGUUUU